rnacentral:rRNA from 1 species
UUGCCGGCAACCGGCGCACGGGUGAGUAACACGUAUGCAACCUGCCCGUCUCAGGGGGAUAAUCGUCGGAAACGGCGUCUAAUACCCCGUAUGAAGCUGGACGGCAUCGUCUGGUUUUGAAAGAAUAUCGGAGACGGAUGGGCAUGCGGCGCAUUAGCUAGUUGGCGGGGUAACGGCCCACCAAGGCGACGAUGCGUAGGGGUUCUGAGAGGAAGGUCCCCCACACUGGUACUGAGACACGGACCAGACUCCUACGGAAGGCAGCAG